rnacentral:rRNA from 1 species
CCCCUAGACGUUCUGGGCUGCACGCGCGCUACAAUAAUACGCACAGCGAGUAUCACCGAGCUCGAAAGGGCAAGGUAAACAAUAGAAAAGGUACUGUAAUGGUUAUAGAUCCUUGUAAUUAUUGAUCUUCAACGAGGAAUUCCUAGUAAGUAUGUGUCAUCAUCACGCACUGAUUACGUCCCUGCCCUUUGUACACACCGCCCGUCGCUCCUAUCGAUUGGGUGAGCCGAUGAAACUCUCGGAUGUAGGCUAUUCAUAGCCCGCAGAAGAGAUUUGAAUCGUAGCGCUUAGAGGAAGGAGAAGUCGUAACA